GUAGGGAAUCUUCCACAAUGGACGAAAGUCUGAUGGAGCAACGCCGCGUGAGUGAAGAAGGUUCUCGGAUCGUAAAACUCUGUUGUGAGGGAAGAACAAGUACCGGAGUAACUGCCGGUACCUUGACGGUACCUCAUUAGAAAGCCACGGCUAACUACGUGCCAGCAGCCGCGGUAAUACGUAGGUGGCAAGCGUUGUCCGGAAUCAUUGGGCGUAAAGCGCGCGCAGGCGGUCCCUUAAGUCUGAUGUGAAAGCCCACGGCUCAACCGUGGAGGGUCAUUGGAAACUGGGGGACUUGAGUGCAGAAGAGGAAAGCGGAAUUCCAAGUGUAGCGGUGAAAUGCGUAGAGAUUUGGAGGAACACCAGUGGCGAAGGCGGCUUUCUGGUCUGUAACUGACGCUGAGGCUCGAAAGCGUGGGGAGCAAACAGGAUUAGAUACCCGAGUAGUCC
rnacentral:rRNA from 1 species